rnacentral:rRNA from 1 species
AUUGAACGCUGGCGGCAGGCCUAACACAUGCAAGUCGAGCGGAUGAAGGGAGCUUGCUCCUGGAUUCAGCGGCGGACGGGUGAGUAAUGCCUAGGAAUCUGCCUGGUAGUGGGGGAUAACGUCCGGAAACGGGCGCUAAUACCGCAUACGUCCUGAUGUAGAAAGUGGGGGAUCUUCGGACCUCACGCUAUCAGAUGAGCCUAGGUCGGAUUAGCUAGUUGGUGGGGUAAAGGCCUACCAAGGCGACGAUCCGUAACUGGUCUGAGAGGAUGAUCAGUCACACUGGAACUGAGACACGGUCCAGACUCCUACGGGAGGCAGCAGUAGGGAAUAUUGGACAAUGGGCGAAAGCCUGAUCCAGCAAUGCCGCGUGUGUGAAGAAGGUCUUCGGAUUGUAAAGCACUUUAAGUUGGGAGGAAGGGAAGUAAGUUAAUACCUUGAUGUUUUGACGGUACCAACAGAAUAAGCACCGGCUAACUUCGUG